rnacentral:rRNA from 1 species
UAAACGACUCUCGGCAACGGAUAUCUCGGCUCUCGCAUCGAUGAAGAACGUAGCGAAAUGCGAUACUUGGUGUGAAUUGCAGAAUCCCGUGAACCAUCGAGUCUUUGAACGCAAGUUGCGCCCGAAGCCAUUAGGCCGAGGGCACGCCUACCUGGGCGUCACAC